UACGUAGGGGGCUGGCGUUGUCCGGAAUCAUUGGGCGUAAAGCGCGUGUAGGCGGUCCGGUAAGUCCGUUGUGAAAGUCAAGGGCUCAACCCUUGAAUGCCGGCGGAUACUGUCGGGCUAGAGUCCGGAAGAGGCGAGUGGAAUUCCCGGUGUAGCGGUGAAAUGCGCAGAUAUCAGGAAGAACACCCGUGGCGAAGGCGGCUCUCUGGGACGGUACUGACGCUGAGACGCGAAAGCGUGGGGAGCGAACAGG
rnacentral:rRNA from 1 species